rnacentral:rRNA from 1 species
CAGUCGCCACGGGAACACCGAGGGUGCAAGCGUUAAUCGGAAUUACUGGGCGUAAAGCGCGCGUAGGUGGUUUGUUAAGUUGGAUGUGAAAGCCCCGGGCUCAACCUGGGAACUGCAUCCAAAACUGGCAAGCUAGAGUACGGUAGAGGGUGGUGGAAUUUCCUGUGUAGCGGUGAAAUGCGUAGAUAUAGGAAGGAACACCAGUGGCGAAGGCGACCACCUGGACUGAUACUGACACUGAGGUGCGAAAGCGUGGGGAGCAAACAGGAUUAGAUACCCCUGUAGUCCCUGUCUCUUAUAC